GUAGGGAAUAUUGCGCAAUGGACGAAAGUCUGACGCAGCGACGCCGCGUGAGUGAUGAAGGCCUUAGGGUCGUAAAGCUCUGUUGAAUGGGAAGAAAAAAAUGACGGUACCAUUCGAGGAAGGACCGGCUAACUUCGUGCCAGCAGCCGCGGUAAUACGAGGGGUCCUAGCGUUGUUCGGAAUCAUUGGGCGUAAAGGGUGUGUAGGUGGCCAUGUAAGUCAGGUGUGAAAGCCCCGGGCUCAACCCGGGAAGUGCACUUGAUACUGCGUGGCUUGAGUACCGAAGAGGGUAGUGGAAUUCCAGGUGUAGUGGUGAAAUACGUAGAUAUCUGGAGGAACACCGGUGGCGAAGGCGGCUACCUGGUCGAGUACUGACACUGAGACACGAAAGCAUGGGGAUCAAACAGGAUUAGAAACCUGGUAGUCC
rnacentral:rRNA from 1 species